GGAGGGGUGCCAGAGCGGCCGAAUGGGGCGGUCUCGAAAACCGUUGUGGCUCCAAGAGUCACCGUGGGUUCGAAUCCCACCCCCUCCGCCA
rnacentral:tRNA from 1 species